GGCCCGCCCGCACGUGCGGGAGGCGCCACAGGUGGGUCGGCCGAGCCGGCCGUUCUCAGAGCCACCUUGAAUCCUCUGUGCGCAAAAGUGUGGAGUCCCCCUCCUGUGUCUAUCUUCUCAAGUCAGUGCUCGCUUUUCGAGAGCAGGGAAAUCCUCUCCGUGUGCCUGGAGACCUUGGGGACCCUCUGAUUACUGUUACAUCAAAGCCGGAUGCUGGUGGUGGCACAGGUCUUGGGAGGCAGACAAGCAGUUUCUCUGGGAGUUCGAGGUCAGCCUGGUCUACAGAGGGAAUUCCAGUACAGACAAGACUAUGCAGAGAAACCCCGCCUCAGGAGGGCAGGGAAAAAAAGAAGUCUGGAAAUUGCUGUUACGGAGUCCCACUGUGAACUUGUCUGUGGCAUGCUGUCCUGGCUUUGGCACAUCACAACCUUGCUUUCCUGCUCAUGGCCUAGUAAGAUUCUGGAGAGUGGAUGGCCUCAUGCAGGGAAUGUAGCUCUGGGGCAGCACUGGCCUAUGUCAUGCAAGGCAAUGGUUUCUUCCACCAUUAAAGGAUACUGACUCGAUGGCGAUAGAAGCUAACCCAGAGGGCCCACCCCUACCCUGACGUCACCACCCUCACCUUGACCUGGUUGGAGGAAUCAUAGCGCACGCGCUGGCGGCUCUUAUU